GGAGAGGUGGCAGAGUGGUUGAUUGCGCCGGUCUUGAAAACCGAUGUGCCCCACGGGCACCGGGGGUUCGAAUCCCCCCCUCUCCGCCA
rnacentral:tRNA from 1 species